AUGUGCUUUUCUCUAUCGUUGUUGUUUGUCAUCUUCCUGUCUUUAAGAUUUAAGCCCACAAUUCUUAGUAAUGUCAUCUUAUCUUAUCCCCUAUAUUCCAAACUUCAAGUCUUAUUUCUCCUUUCCUUUCUUUCUUUCUUUCUUUCUUUCUUUCUUUCUUUCUUUUUUUUUUUUUUUUUUGGAACGAGAAACCUCCCCAGAGCUGCUUUAAAAAAUUUCUUCCUUCUUUCUUCAGCGUGCACUUUGCCAGUCAGUCCUGCAAACGGGGCCUCCUCUGCAUCAGCUGCUUGGCUGAAGCCAAGGCCAAAUCACGCAGAGCCAACACCAGGCUGUCAUUUGGGAGGCGAGGUGGGAAGGGGUGGGUGCAGGCUGGGGAGAGCCGUCUCCCCCGCCCCACUCCCGCCGCCGAACCUUGGGGAGCCUUUUGCCAAUAUUUCAGAGGAACCAGAAGCCUAA
rnacentral:lncRNA from 12 species